rnacentral:rRNA from 1 species
CAGGUGGUCAGGUAGAGAAUACCAAGGCGCUUGAGAGAACUCGGGUGAAGGAACUAGGCAAAAUGGUGCCGUAACUUCGGGAGAAGGCACGCUGAUAUGUAGGUGAAGCGACUUGCUCGUGGAGCUGAAAUCAGUCGAAGAUACCAGCUGGCUGCAACUGUUUAUUAAAAACACAGCACUGUGCAAACACGAAAGUGGACGUAUACGGUGUGACGCCUGCCCGGUGC